rnacentral:rRNA from 1 species
UACGUAGGGUGCGAGCGUUGUCCGGAAUUAUUGGGCGUAAAGAGCUCGUAGGCGGUGUGUCACGUCGGCCGUGAAAACCUGCAGCUUAACUGUGGGCGUGCGGUCGAUACGGGCAUCACUGGAGUUCGGUAGGGGAGACUGGAAUUCCUGGUGUAGCGGUGAAAUGCGCAGAUAUCAGGAGGAACACCGGUGACGAAGGCGGGUCUCUGGGCCGAUACUGACGCUGAGGAGCGAAAGCGUGGGGGAGCGAACAGG